rnacentral:lncRNA from 1 species
UCUACUAAUGGAAUUCCUGGCCUUGAGAGGAUGUUACUUUAGAAGGAAAGGAUUUUUUUGUUAUUAAAAGAGCCACCUAAGCUGAAGAUUCCCUUGAGAACAAGUACUGUCCCUAGUUUCCCAGUGCUGGAAUAUAGAAAAUGGAUGGACAACUGGACCUACCAUGAAAGACUUCUGAAUCCAAGAAGAGAAACUGACUGGGCAACAUGUUAUUCAGAAACAGGACCUUGCCCUGUCACUCAGGAUGGAGUUCAGUGGUCCUAUCAUGGCUCAUUAUAGCCUCAAACUCCCAGGCUCAAGCAAUCCUACCAUGUCAGCCUUCCCAGUAGCUGGGACUACAGGUAAGCAUCGUGACACUCAGUGAAUUUUGUUUUUAUUUUGUUGUAGAGAUGGGACCUCAGUAUGUUGCCAUGGCUGACCUUGAACUCCUGCACUCAAGGGAUUUUCCUACCCUGG